GUUCCUAUUUAGAAUUCAAGAAAUUGUGCCGCUUAAUGCGACAUUUUGACAGUGACACGUGAAGGGAUAACAGAAAAAGGAUAAUAGGCCCAAUUGCCGAAUGUGACGUUGAUUAAAUGGAAACACACACACAAAUCGCAGCUAAAUAUUUUGGCAUUUGAAUAAAUUUGGGAUUACAAGACACCUUUUGAAUGAUUGGAAUGUUUCACAUGAAUUGCAAUGAAAGCAGAGCAUAAUAAUUCAUUUUUCAAAAUUACUUUUGACAUUUGAAGUGCUC